GACGAACGCUGGCGGCAGGCCUAACACAUGCAAGUCGAACGAGUGUCGGACGGGUGAGUUUUGUCUGGGAAACCGCCCGAUGGAUGGGGAUAACUACUGGAAACGGUAGCUUAUACCGCAUACCAUCGGAUGUGCCCAGAUGGGAUUAGCUAGUAGGUUGGGUAAUGGGUCACCUAGGCGACGAUCCCUAGCUGGUCUGAGAGGUUGACCAGCUGCACUGGGACGGAGACACGGUCCAGACUCCUACGGGAGGCAGCAGUGGGGAAUAGUGCCAAAUGGGCGCAAGCCUGAUGCAGCCAUGCCGCGUGUAUGAAGGAGGCCUUCGGGUUGUAAAGUACUUUCAGCGAGGAGGCGUUACUCGCAGAAGAAGCACCGGCUAACUCCGUGCCAGCAGCCGCGGUAAUUC
rnacentral:rRNA from 1 species